GUGCCAGCAGCCGCGGUAAUACGUAGGUGGCAAGCGUUAUCCGGAAUUAUUGGGCGUAAAGCGCGCGUAGGCGGUUUUUUAAGUCUGAUGUGAAAGCCCACGGCUCAACCGUGGAGGGUCAUUGGAAACUGGAAAACUUGAGUGCAGAAGAGGAAAGUGGAAUUCCAUGUGUAGCGGUGAAAUGCGCAGAGAUAUGGAGGAACACCAGUGGCGAAGGCGACUUUCUGGUCUGUAACUGACGCUGAUGUGCGUAAGCGUGGGGAUCAAACAGGAUUAGAUA
rnacentral:rRNA from 1 species